GACGAACGCUGGCGGCGUGCCUAAUACAUGCAAGUUGAGCGCUGAAGGUUGGUACUUGUACCGACUGGCUGAGCAGCGAACGGGUGAGUAACGCGUGGGGAAUCUGCCUUUGAGCGGGGGACAACAUUUGGAAACGAAUGCUAAUACCGCAUAAAAACUUUAAACACAAGUUUUAAGUUUGAAAGAUGCAAUUGCAUCACUCAAAGAUGAUCCCGCGUUGUAUUAGCUAGUUGGUGAGGUAAAGGCUCACCAAGGCGAUGAUACAUAGCCGACCUGAGAGGGUGAUCGGCCACAUUGGGACUGAGACACGGCCCAAACUCCUACGGGAGGCAGCAGUAGGGAAUCUUCGGCAAUGGACGAAAGUCUGACCGAGCAGCGCCGCGUGAGUGAAGAAGGUUUUCGGAUCGGAAAACUCUGUUGGUAGAGAAGAACGUUGGUGAGAGUGGAAAGCUCAUCAAGUGACGGUAACUACCCAGAAAGGGACGGCUAACUACGUG
rnacentral:rRNA from 1 species